rnacentral:rRNA from 1 species
GUAGGUGGCAAGCGUUGUCCGGAAUUAUUGGGCGUAAAGCGCGCGCAGGCGGGGUCCUUUAAGUCUGAUGUGAAAGCCCACGGGCUCAACCGUGGAGGGUCAUUGGAAACUGGGGGACUUGAGUACAGAAGAGGAAAGCGGAAUUCCACGUGUAGCGGUGAAAUGCGUAGAGAUGUGGAGGAACACCAGUGGCGAAGGCGGCUUUCUGGUCUGUAACUGACGCUGAGGCGCGAAAGCGUGGGGAGCAAACAGGAUUAGAUACCCUGGUAGUCCACGCCGUAAACGAUGAGUGCUAAGUGUUAGGGGGUUUCCGCCCCUUAGUGCUGCAGCUAACGCAUUAAGCACUCCGCCUGGGGAGUACGGCCGCAAAGGCUG